AACGAACGCUGGCGGCAUGCCUAACACAUGCAAGUCGAACGGGAUCCUAGCUUGCUAGGUGAGAGUGGCGGACGGGUGAGUAACACGUGGGAAUCUGCCUUUUGGUUCGGGAUAACCGCGGGAAACUGCGGCUAAUACCGAAUGCCCUCGAGAGAGGAAAGAUUUAUCGCCAGAAGAGGAGCCCGCGUCCGAUUAGGUAGUUGGUGGGGUAAAGGCCUACCAAGCCGACGAUCGGUAGCUGGUCUGAGAGGAUGAUCAGCCACACUGGGACUGAGGUACGGCCCAGACUCCUACGGGAGGCAGCAGUGGGGAAUAUUGGACAAUGGGGGCAACCCUGAUCCAGCAAUGCCGCGUGAGUGAUGAAGGCCUUAGGGUUGUAAAGCUCUUUUGCCAGGGAAGAUGAUGACUGUACCUGGAGAAUAAGCCCCGGCUAACUUCGUGCCAGCAGCCGCGGU
rnacentral:rRNA from 1 species